AACUUACCAGGUCAAGACAUGGGCGUGAUUGACAGGCUAAUGACUUUUCUCGAUUCCAUGGAUGGUGGUGCAUGGUCGCACUUAGUUGGUGCAGUGAUUUGUCAGGUUUAUUCCGGUAACGAACGAGACCUCGGCCUUGUAAAUAGCUAUGCUGCUUACAGGGACAUUGGCGGCUACGCCAAGGAAGCUCGAGGCAAUUGCAGAUCUGGAAUGCCCUUAGAUGUCCUGGGUCGCACGCGUGCUACAAUGACGCCACGAACGAGCUUGCGUGAUGAAAGUUACGCAUAAUCAGCAGUCGGCGUCUUAAGGGAUAGUCUCUUGUAACUGUGGGACUCCAACUAGGAAUGUCUCGUAAGCACAAGUCAACAUCUUGUGUUGAUUACGUCCCUGCUCUUUGUACACACCGCCCGUCGCUCCUACCGAUCGAGUGUUUAGGUGAAUUUGAUGGAUGUAAGGAAGUCAAAUAAACCUGAGCACUAGAGAAGAGAAGUCGACAAACA
rnacentral:rRNA from 1 species